AGUGAACGCUGGCGGUAGGCCUAACACAUGCAAGUCGAACGGCAGCACAGUAAGAGCUUGCUCUUACGAGUGGCGAGUGGAGGACGGGUGAGGAAUACAUCGGAAUCUACUUUUUCGUGGGGGAUAACGUAGGGAAACUUACGCUAAUACCGCAUACGACCUACGGGUGAAAGCAGGGGAUCUUCGGACCUUGCGCGAUUGAAUGAGCCGAUGUCGGAUUAGCUAGUUGGCGGGGUAAAGGCCCACCAAGGCGACGAUCCGUAGCUGGUCUGAGAGGAUGAUCAGCCACACUGGAACUGAGACACGGUCCAGACUCCUACGGGAGGCAGCAGUGGGGAAUAUUGGACAAUGGGCGCAAGCCUGAUCCAGCCAUACCGCGUGGGUGAAGAAGGCCUUCGGGUUGUAAAGCCCUUUUGUUGGGAAAGAAAAGCAGCAGGUUAAUACCCCGCUGUUCUGACGGUACCCAAAGAAUAAGCACCGGCUAACUUCGUG
rnacentral:rRNA from 1 species